AGAAACCAACAGGGAUUGCCUCAGUAACGGCGAGUGAAGCGGCAACAGCUCAAAUUUGAAAUCUGGCCCCCCGGCCCGAGUUGUAAUUUGCAGAGGAUGCUUUUGGCGCGGUGCCUUCCGAGUUCCCUGGAACGGGACGCCAUAGAGGGUGAGAGCCCCGUCUGGUCGGACACCAAGCCUCUGUAAAGCUCCUUCGACGAGUCGAGUAGUUUGGGAAUGCUGCUCUAAAUGGGAGGUAUAUGUCUUCUAAAGCUAAAUACCGGCCAGAGACCGAUAGCGCACAAGUAGAGUGAUCGAAAGAUGAAAAGCACUUUGGAAAGAGAGUUAAACAGCACGUGAAAUUGUUGAAAGGGAAGCGUUCACGACCAGACUUGGGCCGGUUGAUCACCCAGCGUUCUCGCUGGUGCACUCUGCCGGCCCAGGCCAGCAUCAGUUCGCCCCGGGGGAUAAAGGCGGCGGGAAUGUGGCUCCCCAGGGAGUGUUAUAGCCCGCCGCGCAAUACCCUGUGGCGGACUGAGGUUCGCGCUCUGCAAGGAUGCUGGCGUAAUGGUCGUCAACGACCCGUCUUGAAACACGGACCAAGGAGUCGUCUUCGUAUGCGAGUGUUCGGGUGUCAAACCCCUACGCGUAAUGAAAGUGAACGCAGGUGAGAGCUUCGGCGCAUCAUCGACCGAUCCUGAUGUUCUCGGAUGGAUUUGAGUAAGAGCAUACGGGGCCGGACCCGAAAGAAGGUGAACUAUGCCUGUAUAGGGUGAAGCCAGAGGAAACUCUGGUGGAGGCUCGCAGCGGUUCUGACGUGCAAAUCGAUCGUCAAAUAUGGGCAUGGGGGCGAAAGACUAAUCGA
rnacentral:rRNA from 1 species